GGCUUAUGUGGAGCUCAUAGGUGGGAAAGAUGAUUCAAACCUACUUACAUGUAUUUCAUAGUUAAACCAUGGAUCUAGAGAAACUAAUUUUAUAAUCAAGUCAUAUGUGCAUGUGAGUGAAGUGAAUGAUAAGAAUGAAAGGGGCAAUGAGGGGUGAUAACUGAUGGUGAAUAUCUAGUUCUACAUUUGCUCCUUGGGGAUAACAUACCUCCCUAAUCUGAGAAUAAGGAUUUGGCUGUCUUUCUUUUAUUUUGCAUUGGGACUUUUGUCCUCUUUAUUUCUUUUCUUAUUUUUUUAUGAGAUCAGCCAUCCCUUUUAAUGCACUAAUAACAAUAGGGAGUAUCAACUGAAGUAAUUGGAGCUUUAUUGGAUAAGUAGAAUAAGACAUAAUGGCAAUGGAUAUUUUUGGGUAUUCCCUCCUAGUGUAGGAGUAGAACAUUUUCUAAGUGGAUGAAGGAAUGCGUACUCCAAUGGUAGGAGCAGCAUCGGUGCGUGUUUCUAGGAUAGAAACAACACAGAGUGUAGUGCAUAUAUGUGGGUGAUACUUCUAGGAACAGAAGUAGCACAUAGUGAAUGUGGUGGAUGUAAGUGGGUGCAUACUUCUUAGGACAGAAGUAGCUAAGAUCAAUGGAUGGAGAGCACAUAAUAUUGACUUUAACUCCAUGACUAUUUCCUUAGGGUCUACACAGCUUAACUACCCUCAAUGCUUAUAGGCU
rnacentral:lncRNA from 1 species